rnacentral:rRNA from 1 species
GAUGAACGCUGGCGGCGUGCCUAAUACAUGCAAGUCGAGCGAAUGGAUUGAGAGCUUGCUCUUAUGAAGUUAGCGGCGGACGGGUGAGUAACACGUGGGUAACCUGCCCAUAAGACUGGGAUAACUCCGGGAAACCGGGGCUAAUACCGGAUAACAUUUUGAACCGCAUGGUUCGAAAUUGAAAGGCGGCUUCGGCUGUCACUUAUGGAUGGACCCGCGUCGCAUUAGCUAGUUGGUGAGGUAACGGCUCACCAAGGCAACGAUGCGUAGCCGACCUGAGAGGGUGAUCGGCCACACUGGGACUGAGACACGGCCCAGACUCCUACGGGGGGCAGCAGUAGGGAAUCUUCCGCAAUGGACGAAAGUCUGACGGAGCAACGCCGCGUGAGUGAUGAAGGCUUUCGGGUCGUAAAACUCUGUUGUUAGGGAAGAACAAGUGCUAGUUGAAUAAGCUGGCACCUUGACGGUACCUAACCAGAAAGCCACGGCUAACUACAUGCCAGCCGCCGCCGUAA